rnacentral:rRNA from 1 species
GACGAACCGUGCGAACGUUGUUCGGAAUCACUGGGCUUAAAGGGCGCGUAGGCGGCUUAUCAAGUCAGGGGUGAAUACUUGCGGCUUAACCGUAAUAAGCCUUUGUAUACUGAUAGGCUCGAGGGAGGUAGGGCGAUGUGGAACUUCCAGUGGAGCGGUGAAAUGCGUUGAUAUCGGAAGGAACGCCGGUGGCGAAAGCGACGUGCUGGAUCUCUUCUGACGCUGAGGCGCGAAAGCUAGGGUA